GCGGCAGGCCUAACACAUGCAAGUCGAACGGCAGCACAGAAGAGCUUGCUCUUUGGGUGGCGAGUGGCGGACGGGUGAGUAAUGUCUGGGAAACUGCCCGAUGGAGGGGGAUAACUACUGGAAACGGUAGCUAAUACCGCAUAACGUCGCAAGACCAAAGUGGGGGACCUUCGGGCCUCACACCAUCGGAUGUGCCCAGAUGGGAUUAGCUAGUAGGUGGGGUAACGGCUCACCUAGGCGACGAUCCCUAGCUGGUCUGAGAGGAUGACCAGCCACACUGGAACUGAGACACGGUCCAGACUCCUACGGGAGGCAGCAGUGGGGAAUAUUGCACAAUGGGCGCAAGCCUGAUGCAGCCAUGCCGCGUGUAUGAAGAAGGCCUUCGGGUUGUAAAGUACUUUCAGCGGGGAGGAAGGCGAUGCGGUUUAAUAACCGGGUCGAUUGACGUUACCCGCAGAAGAAGCACCGGCUAACUCCGUGCCAGCAGCCGCGGUAAUACGGAGGGUGCAAGCGUUAAUCGGAAUUACUGGGCGUAAAGCGCACGCAGGCGGUCUGUCAAGUCGGAUGUGAAAUCCCCGGG
rnacentral:rRNA from 1 species